GAUGAACGCUAGCGGCAGGCCUAAUACAUGCAAGUCGAACGCGGGGUAGCAAUACCUCGAGUGGCGCACGGGUGCGUAACGCGUAACCAACCUGCCCUUGACUGGGGGAUAGCCCGCCGAAAGGCGGAUUAAUACCGCAUAAACCAGCAGCCUGGCAUCAGGCAACUGGUAAAGAUUUAUUGGUCAAGGAUGGGGUUGCGUGACAUUAGCUAGUUGGCGGGGUAACGGCCCACCAAGGCGACGAUGUCUAGGGGACCUGAGAGGGUGAUCCCCCACACUGGCACUGAGAUACGGGCCAGACUCCUACGGGAGGCAGCAGUAGGGAAUAUUGGGCAAUGGGCGAGAGCCUGACCCAGCCAUGCCGCGUGCCGGAUGAAGGCCUUCUGGGUUGUAAACGGCUUUUCUCAGGGAAGAAAACGACCAUGCGUGGUACACUGACGGUACCUGAGGAAUAAGCACCGGCUAACUCCGUGCCAGCCGCCGCCGUAAAAC
rnacentral:rRNA from 1 species